rnacentral:rRNA from 1 species
AUUGAACGCUGGCGGCAGGCCUAACACAUGCAAGUCGAGCGAGCGGCGGACGGGUGAGUAAUGUCUGGGAAACUGCCUGAUGGGGGGGAUAACUACUGGAAACGGUAGCUAAUACCGCAUACCAUCAGAUGUGCCCAGAUGGGAUUAGGUAGUGGGUGGGGUAACGGCUCACCUAGGCGACGAUCCCUAGCGGGCCUGAGAGGAUGACCAGCCACACUGGAACUGAGACACGGCCCAGACUCCUACGGGAGGCAGCAGUGGGGAAUAUUGCGCAAUGGGCGAAAGCCUGAUGCAGCCAUGCCGCGUGUGUGAAGAAGGCCUUCGGGUUGUAAAGCACUUUCGUCAGGGAGGCGUUACCCGCAGAGGAAGCACCGGCUAACUCCGUGCCAGCCGCCGCGGUAAUAC